CCUCCUCUCACUCUCACUCCCACUCCCACUCCCACUCCCUCCAUUUAAAACCCACCACACUUCAAAAACCCACUUCAAAAUUUGUCAUCUUUCCUCAUUCUUCCCAUUAUGGGCUGCACGGCGUCCAAAUUGGACAACGAGGACACUGUGCGGCGGUGCAAGGACCGGCGCCGUUUAAUGAAAGACGCCGUCUUCGCCCGCCACCACCUCGCCGCCGCCCACGCCGACUACUGCCGCUCCCUCCGCCUCACCGGCUCCGCCCUCGUCUCCUUCGCCAACUUCGAACCCCUCUCCAUCUCCGACCAAACCCCGCCGUCUUCCUCCACCCUACUACCACCACUUCCAACCCCUCUCCUCCUCCUCCUCCCUCCUCCAAUCCCCUCCACCCACGUGUCCCGCCCUCCCAGCUCCCUCCUCCCUCCACCCCCGCCGCCGCCUCCGCCGCUCUCCCCACCAUCGCCAGCUCCAAGCUCCCCCACAUCCUCUCCGACUCCUCCCUCUCCUCCUCCCGCCGCCACCGCCGCCGGAGACAGCCUCCGCCGGGGCCGAAGCUCCCGCACAUACUCUCCGACACCAGCCCCUCCUCCACUCCCCGAAGCCAGAACUCCAACUUCACCGGCGGCGGGUUUCCGACGGCCUUUCAGGCGAACUCGACGUACUCCAGCACGCCGUCGCAGGCCUCCUCCGUGUGGAAUUGGGAGAAUUUCUACCCUCCGUCGCCGCCGGACUCCGAAUUCUUCAACCAGAGAGAGCAGGAGUCCAAACAAUCCCACCACCUCGACGAUUCCGACGACGACGACAACACCGAGCCGGAAACCGAAACCGAGGCAUCGGAAUACAAUUACUUCCACAACAUGCCCAAAUCCCAACCCACCGCCCGCCAAAACCACUCGUAUUCUCAGUCGGAGAAGUACGCCCAGUCCGAAACCGAGAGAUCAGAGUACGAUUUCUUCGUCCCCAACCGUAACCCUAAAGCUCCGGCCAAGACUCAGUCGGAGAAGUACGCUCAGUCGGAGAGAGAAGAGGUCCACUGCAGCGAGUGGGGCGAUCACGAUCGCUACAGCACCACGAGCUCGUCUGAAAACGAAGACGACGACAGGGAUUCGAGAUCCGAGAUGGGGACCCGGUCCAAUUUCGACCCGUCGGUUCGGGCCGAGUCGGUCGCGGGCUCGGUGCCGCCGGCCCAGACGAUGCCGAAGUACGCGCCG
rnacentral:lncRNA from 1 species